rnacentral:rRNA from 1 species
UACGUAAGGGGCAAGCGUUGUCCGGAAUCACUGGGCGUAAAGCGCGCGUAGGCGGUUUGGUAAGUCGGGUGUGAAAUCCUCGGGCUUAACCCGAGAACUGCGCCCGAAACUGCCUCACUGGAGGGACGGAGAGGUGCAUGGAAUUCCCGGUGUAGGGGUGAAAUCCAUAGAGAUCGGGAGGAGCACCAAUGGCGAAGGCAGUGCACUGGACGUCACCUGACGCUGAGGUGCGAAAGCGUGGGGAGCGAACGGG